UGGCCAUUCUAUGUGUCAUGGAUUGGGUUGCCCAAAGCACUGGGGCUGAGUUCCAAGGAAUAGUAUUACAAAGACCCACACGAAAGCUUCAGCUUCUUGUGAGCUUGCCCUGGCUCACAGAUCAUUAUUUUUCCCACGUUCUGGUGGUCAGGUAAGUCACUGAAGCCAGCCCAGAGUCAAAGGGAAGACUUAAGUUAACUUCACCUCUUGAUGUAGGAACUGGGAGCAGUCAUCUGUGGAUACUACCAACCACAAAGCACAUGGCAUACCAUACACACAAUGAAUAUCAGUUCACUCUGCCCAAUUUUUACUUUAACUCAUUACUUUUAAAAAACCUUCAAAUAUGUAUUUUUAGAAAGUUCAAGCUGAGCAAAAUUGGACUUUAAAAAUGGUCUAAGAGAGUCUUUUCUUAUUCUACAGAUGGGAAAACUGGAGCCCAAAGGAUGGAAAUACUGAACCCAUGGGCUCUGUCACUAGACUGCAUCCCAGGGCCUCAACAUAAUAUAUUCUUAAUCAUACUGGGGUAACCUAUUAGAAAGAACCCUGUCCUGGAAUCCUGGAAAAGAGGCCCUGCUAGGAGCUGACCUUGGACAAAUCACUCCCUUCUCUGAACCUCACUGUUCAGGGGGCUGAGAACAGAGGGUCCCUAAGGAAGAGUGUUGUAUGAGAACAGUCUCCGCUCUUGACCCAAGCAAACCUGGCUUCAAAUCUCAACUCCUGUGGCUGACUAGCUGUAUGACCUUGACCUUUCUCAGUUUCCUCAUCUAUAAAGCAGGAUUAAUAAAAGGUACCUAUCUAAUAUGACUGUUCUGAGAAUAAAAUGAAAUAAACUACAUAGGUGAUUUGACAUUGUGCUUGGUUUACAGUAGGUGUUUAAUAAAAGGAAAUUGCUAUAUUAUUA
rnacentral:lncRNA from 1 species